AUCUAACAAAAUUUUCUCUUGAAACAAAAAUUGUAAAUCAAUAGUAAUAAUAUUCUAAAAUUUUCUAAUAGGUGCAAAUUGUGAAAAGCAAAAAUGGAGAAAGUCAAAUUCUUUGCUAUAAUCUUUAUUGUGGCAAUGGUUAUGACAAGGGUUGAGGCGGAAGAGGUUCCGAUGCAAGUGACGACCAAUGAGGUGACUCUAGCGGCCGAGGCUGCCGCCUCGAGUCUCAAAAGCAGCG
rnacentral:lncRNA from 1 species